CGGCGAGUGAAGCGGCAACAGCUCAAAUUUGAAAUCUGGCGCAAGCCCGAGUUGUAAUUUGUAGAGGAUGCUUCUGGGUAGCGACCGAUCUAAGUUCCUUGGAACAGGACGUCAUAGAGGGUGAGAAUCCCGUAUGUGACCGGCCCGCACCCUUUACGUAGCUCCUUCGACGAGUCGAGUUGUUUGGGAAUGCAGCUCUAAAUGGGAGGUAAAUUUCUUCUAAAGCUAAAUACCGGCCAGAGACCGAUAGCGCACAAGUAGAGUGAUCGAAAGAUGAAAAGUACUUUGGAAAGAGAGUUAAAAAGCACGUGAAAUUGUUGAAAGGGAAGCGCCUGCAACCAGACUUCGCGGCAGUGUUCCGCCGGUCUUCUGACCGGUUCAUUCUCUGUCGCGAGGCCAUCAUCGUCUGGGCCCGCCGGAUAAGACCUGAGGAAUGUGGCUCCCCCUCGGGGGAGUGUUAUAGCCUCUGGUGAUGCGGCGUGGCUCGGGCGAGGUCCGCGCUUCGGCAAGGAUGAUGGCGUAAUGGUUGUCGGCGGCCCGUCUUGAAACACGGACCAAGGAGUCUAACAUCUAUGCGAGUGUUCGGGUGUCAAACCCCUACGCGUAAUGAAAGUGAACGGAGGUGGGAACCGCAAGGUGCACCAUCGACCGAUCCUGAUGUCCUCGGAUGGAUUUGAGUAAGAGCAUAGCUGUUGGGACCCGAAAGAUGGUGAACUAUGCCUG
rnacentral:rRNA from 1 species